rnacentral:rRNA from 2 species
CGCUGGCGGCGUGCCUAACACAUGCAAGUCGAACGGUUCUAAGCGCGAGCUUAGGAUAGUGGCGAACGGGUGAGUAAAAGGUAGGAAUCUACCCCUUGGACGGAGAUAGCUACUGGAAACGGUAGGUAAACUUCGAUAAGCCCGAGAGGGGAAAGUGGUGAGACAGCCGAGGGAUGAGCCUACUCUCCAUCAGGUAGUUGGUGAGAUAAAAGCUUACCAAGCCGAUGACGGAUAACCGGUGUGAGAGCAUGAACGGUCACAAGGGCACUGAGAGACGGGCCCUA